GACAGAGGGUGCAAACGUUGUUCGGAAUUACUGGGCAUAAAGCGCACGUAGGUGGUCCGCUAAGUCGCGUGUGAAAUCCCCCGGCUCAACCGGGGAAAUGCGCGUGAUACUGGCGGGCUUGAGAUCGGGAGGGGUGAAUGGAACUCCAGGUGGAGGCGGUGAAAUGCGUAGAUAUCUGGAGGAACACCGGUGGCGAAAGCGGUUCACUGGCCCGACCACUGACACUGAGGUGCGAAAGCUAGGGUAGCAAACGGG
rnacentral:rRNA from 1 species